rnacentral:rRNA from 1 species
GUAGGGGGGCGAGCGUUGUCCGGAUUUAUUGGGGCGUAAAGAGCUCGUAGGCGGCUCAGCAAGUCGGCCGUGAAAGCCUGAGGGCUCAACCUCAGGACGCCGGUCGAAACUGCUGUGGCUAGGGUCCCGGUAGAGGAGAGUGGAAUUCCCGGUGUAGCGGUGAAAUGCGCAGAUAUCGGGAGGAACACCAGUAGCGAAGGCGGCUCUCUGGGCCGGCACCGACGCUGAGGAGCGAAAGCUAGGGGAGCAAACAGGAUUAGAUACCCUGGUAGUCCUAGCCGUAAACGUUGGGUACUAGGUGUGGCGGAUUCAUUGACAUCUGCCGUGCCGAAGCUAACGCAUUAAGUACCCCGCCUGGGGAGUACGGUCGCAAGGCUA